CGCAGCCGCGGUAAUUCCAGCUCCAAUAGCGUAUAUUAAAGUUGUUGCAGUUAAAAAGCUCGUAGUUGAAUUUCGGGAUCGACGGGUCGGUCGCGCCUCUGGUGUGUACUGGCCCUGUCGGUUUCUCCCUUCUGACGAACCACGAUGUCAUUAAUUUGGUGUCGUGGGAAAUCAGGACUGUUACUUUGAAAAAAUUAGAGUGUUUAAAGCAGGCAUUCGCUUGAAUACAUUAGCAUGGAAUAAUGAAAUAGGACGUUUGAUCUUAUUUUGUUGGUUUCUAAGAUCGACGUAAUGAUUAAUAGGGAUAGUUGGGGGCAUUAGUAUUCAAUUGUCAGAGGUGAAAUUCUUGGAUUUAUUGAAGACUAACUACUGCGAAAGCAUUUGCCAAGGAUGUUUUCAUUAAUCAAGAACGAAAGUUAGGGGAUCGAAGACGAUCAGAUACCGUCGUAGUCUUAACCAUAAACUAUGCCGACUAGGGAUCGGAUGAUGUUAAUUUUUUAAUGUACUCAUUCGGCGCCUU
rnacentral:rRNA from 1 species